ACUCUUGACUCCAGCGAAUCCUUUAUAGAUAGAGGAGUGCCUUCGGGAACGCUGAGACAGGUGCUGCAUGGCUGUCGUCAGCUCGUGUUGUGAAAUGUUGGGUUAAGUCCCGCAACGAGCGCAACCCUUAUCCUUUGUUGCCAGCACGUAAUGGUGGGAACUCAAAGGAGACUGCCGGUGAUAAACCGGAGGAAGGUGGGGAUGACGUCAAGUCAUCAUGGCCCUUACGAGUAGGGCUACACACGUGCUACAAUGGCAGAUACAAAGAGAAGCGACCUCGCGAGAGCAAGCGGAACUCAUAAAGUCUGUCGUAGUCCGGAUUGGAGUCUGCAACUCGACUCCAUGAAGUCGGAAUCGCUAGUAAUCGUAAAUCAAAAUGCUACGGUGAAUACGUUCCCGGGUCUUGUACACACCG
rnacentral:rRNA from 1 species